rnacentral:rRNA from 1 species
GUUUGGUUAAGUUAGAAAGGGCGCACGGUGGAUGCCUUGACACUAGGAGUCGAUGAAGGACGGGACUAACGCCGAUAUGCUUCGGGGAGCUGUAAGUAAGCUUUGAUCCGAAGAUUUCCGAAUGGGGAAACCCACUAUACGUAAUGGUAUGGUAUCCUUACCUGAAUACAUAGGGUAUGGAAGACAGACCCAGGGAACUGAAACAUCUAAGUACCUGGAGGAAGAGAAAGCAAAUGCGAUUUCCUGAGUAGCGGCGAGCGAAACGGAACAUAGCCCAAACCAAGAGGCUUGCCUCUUGGGGUUGUAGGACAUUCUAUACGGAGUUACAAAGGAACGAGGUAGACGAAGCGACCUGGAAAGGUCCGUCGUAGAGGGUAACAACCCCGUAGUCGAAACUUCGUUCUCUCUUGAAUGUAUCCUGAGUACGGCGGAACACGUGAAAUUCCGUCGGAAUCUGGGAGGACCAUCUCCCAAGGCUAAAUACUCCCUAGUGAUCGAUAGUGAACCAGUACCGUGAGGGAAAGGUGAAAAGCACCCCGGAAGGGGAGUGAAAGAGAUCCUGAAACCGUGUGCCUACAAAUAGUCAGAGCCCGUUAAUGGGUGAUGGCGUGCCUUUUGUAGAAUGAACCGGCGAGUUACGAUCCCGUGCGAGGUUAAGCUGAAGAGGCGGAGCCGCAGCGAAAGCGAGUCUGAAUAGGGCGUUUAGUACGUGGUCGUAGACCCGAAACCAGGUGAUCUACCCAUGUCCAGGGUGAAGUUCAGGUAACACUGAAUGGAGGCCCGAACCCACGCACGUUGAAAAGUGCGGGGAUGAGGUGUGGGUAGCGGAGAAAUUCCAAUCGAACCUGGAGAUAGCUGGUUCUCCCCGAAAUAGCUUUAGGGCUAGCCUUAAGUGUAAGAGUCUUGGAGGUAGAGCACUGAUUGAACUAGGGGUCCUCAUCGGAUUACCGAAUUCAGUCAAACUCCGAAUGCCAAUGACUUAUCCUUAGGAGUCAGACUGCGAGUGAUAAGAUCCGUAGUCAAGAGGGAAACAGCCCAGAUCGCCAGCUAAGGUCCCAAAGUGUGUAUUAAGUGGAAAAGGAUGUGGAGUUGCUUAGACAACUAGGAUGUUGGCUUAGAAGCAGCCACCAUUUAAAGAGUGCGUAAUAGCUCACUAGUCGAGUGACUCUGCGCCGAAAAUGUACCGGGGCUAAAUACACCACCGAAGCUGCGAAUUGAUACCAAUGGUAUCAGUGGUAGGGGAGCGUUCUAAGUGCAGUGAAGUCAGACCGGAAGGACUGGUGGAGCGCUUAGAAGUGAGAAUGCCGGUAUGAGUAGCGAAAGACGGGUGAGAAUCCCGUCCACCGAAUGCCUAAGGUUUCCUGAGGAAGGCUCGUCCGCUCAGGGUUAGUCAGGACCUAAGCCGAGGCCGACAGGCGUAGGCGAUGGACAACAGGUUGAUAUUCCUGUACCACCUCUUUAUCG